rnacentral:rRNA from 1 species
AGCUUGCUCCUUUGACGUUAGCGGCGGACGGGUGAGUAACACGUGGAUAACCUACCUAUAAGACUGGGAUAACUUCGGGAAACCGGAGCUAAUACCGGAUAAGAUUUUGAACCGCAUGGUUCAAUAGUGAAAGACGGCCUUGCUGUCACUUAUAGAUGGAUCCGCGCCGUAUUAGCUAGUUGGUAAGGUAACGGCUUACCAAGGCAACGAUACGUAGCCGACCUGAGAGGGUGAUCGGCCACACUGGAACUGAGACACGGUCCAGACUCCUACGGGAGGCAGCAGUAGGGAAUCUUCCGCAAUGGGCGAAAGCCUGACGGAGCAACGCCGCGUGAGUGAUGAAGGUCUUCGGAUCGUAAAACUCUGUUAUCAGGGAAGAACAAACGUGUAAGUAACUGUGCACGUCUUGACGGUACCUGAUCAGAAAGCCACGGCUAACUACGUGCCAGCAGCCGCGGUAAUACGUAGGUGGCAAGCGUUAUCCGGAAUUAUUGGGCGUAAAGCGCGCGUAGGCGGUUUUUUAAGUCUGAUGUGAAAGCCCACGGCUCAACCGUGGAGGGUCAUUGGAAACUGGAAAACUUGAGUGCAGAAGAGGAAAGUGGAAUUCCAUGUGUAGCGGUGAAAUGCGCAGAGAUAUGGAGGAACACCAGUGGCGAAGGCGACUUUCUGGUCUGUAACUGACGCUGAUGCGCGAAAGCGUGGGGAUCAAACAGGAUUAGAUACCCUGGUAGUCCACGCCGUAAACGA